rnacentral:rRNA from 1 species
CCUACGGGUGGCAGCAGUGGGGAAUAUUGCACAAUGGGGGAAACCCUGAUGCAGCGACGCCGCGUGAGCGAGGAAGUAUUACGGUAUGUAAAGCUCUGUCAGCAGGGAAGAAGAAUGACGGUACCUGAAGCAGAAGCACCGGCUAAAUACGUGCCAGCAGCCGCGGUACUACGGAGGGUGCACGCGUUAUCCGGAUUUACUGGGUGUAACGGGAGCGCAGGCGGUUCUGCAAGUCUGAUGUGAAAGCCCGGGGCUCAACCGCGGGACUGCAUUGGAAACUGCGGGACUGGAGUGACGGAGGGGUAAGCGGAAUUCCUGGUGUAGCGGUGAAAUGCGUAGAUAUCAGGAGGAACACCGGUGGCGAAGGCGGCUUACUGGACGAUGACUGACGCUGAGGCUCGAAAGCGUGGGGAGCAAACAGGAUUAGAUACCCGAGUAGUC